GGACGGGUGAGUAAUGUCUGGGAAACUGCCUGAUGGAGGGGGAUAACUACUGGAAACGGUAGCUAAUACCGCAUAACGUCGCAAGAACCAAAGAGGGGGACCUUCGGGCCUCUUGCCAUCAGAUGUGCCCAGAUGGGAUUAGCUAGUAGGUGGGGUAACGGCUCACCUAGGCGACAAUCCCUAGCUGGUCUGAGAGGAUGACCAGCCACACUGGAACUGAGACACGGUCCAGACUCCUACGGGAGGCAGCAUG
rnacentral:rRNA from 1 species